UGACAAUAAAUAUAAUGAGGACCCCAUUGAGUGUGAAUAUUGUCUAGAUGACAAUAUUUGUAUUAAAACUCACAGCAUUUAUUUUAUCGUAUUUUACACGACAGUUGUAUAAUUAAGAUUGUAUUUGUAUUUUGUACCAUGUAUUUGGCGAAUUAGAAUAGGUGAUGUAUACCUUUUUUUGGGGGCGUCACAAACACCAACUAAGACUCUUAUUUGUAAAAUUUAAAAUUUUG
rnacentral:lncRNA from 1 species